AGGAAUAUUGGUCAAUGGGCGCAAGCCUGAACCAGCCAUCCCGCGUGCAGGAUGAAGGUCCUAUGGAUUGUAAACUGCUUUUAUCAGGGAAGAAACGCCUUCAUUUAUGAGGGUCUGACGGUACCUGAGGAAUAAGCACCGGCUAACUCCGUGCCAGCAGCCGCGGUAAUACGGAGGGUGCGAGCGUUAUCCGGAAUUACUGGGUUUAAAGGGUGCGUAGGCGGGAGAUUAAGUCAGUGGUGAAAGCCUGUCGCUUAACGAUAGAAUUGCCAUUGAUACUGAUUUUCUUGAAUUGGGUUGAGGUUAGCGGAAUGUGACAUGUAGCGGUGAAAUGCAUAGAUAUGUCAUGGAACACCAAUUGCGAAGGCAGCUAACUGGGCCUUGAUUGACGCUGAGGCACGAAAGCGUGGGUAGCGAAC
rnacentral:rRNA from 1 species